GAAAUGCGAUAAGUAGUGUGAAUUGCAGAAUUCAGUGAAUCAUCGAAUCUUUGAACGCACAUUGCGCCCCUUGGUAUUCCAGGGGGCAUGCCUGUUCGAGCGUCAUUUGUACCCUCAAGCUAUGCUUGGUGUUGGGUGUUUGUCUGGCCUUUGUGCCUAGACUCGCCUUAAAGUAAUUGGCAGCCGGUGUUUUGGUAGUAGAGCGCAGCACAUUUUGUACUCUGUUUCCUAAACUAUGGCAUCCAUAAGCACACUUCUCACUUUUGACCUCGGAUCAGGUAGGGAUACCCGCUGAACUUAA
rnacentral:misc_RNA from 1 species